CACUAUCGUUAACUGAAUACAUAGGUUAACGAGGCGAACCGGGGGAACUGAAACAUCUAAGUACCCCGAGGAAAAGAAAUCAACCGAGAUUCCCCCAGUAGCGGCGAGCGAACGGGGAGCAGCCCAGAGUCUGAAUCAGCUUGUGUGUUAGUGGAACGGUCUGGAAAGUCCGACGGUACAGGGUGAUAGUCCCGUACACCAAAAUGCACAGGYUGUGAACUCGAAGAGUAGGGCGGGACACGUGGUAUCCUGUCUGAAUAUGGGGGGACCAUCCUCCAAGGCUAAAUACUCCUGACUGACCGAUAGUGAACCAGUACCGUGAGGGAAAGGCGAAAAGAACCCCGGCGAGGGGAGUGAAAAAGAACCUGAAACCGUGUACGUACAAGCAGUGGGAGCACCUUCGGGUGUGACUGCGUACCUUUUGUAUAAUGGGUCAGCGACUUAUAUUCUGUAGCAAGGUUAACCGUAUAGGGGAGCCGCAGGGAAACCGAGUCUUAACUGGGCGUUAAGUUGCAGGGUAUAGACCCGAAACCCGGUGAUCUAGCCAUGGGCAGGUUGAAGGUUGGGUAACACUAACUGGAGGACCGAACCGACUAAUGUUGAAAAAUUAGCGGAUGACUUGUGGCUGGGGGUGAAAGGCCAAUCAAACCGGGAGAUAGCUGGUUCUCCCCGAAAGCUAUUUAGGUAGCGCCUCGUGAACUCAUCUUCGGGGGUAGAGCACUGUUUCGGCUAGGGGGUCAUCCCGACUUACCAACCCGAUGCAAACUACGAAUACCGAAGAAUGUUAUCACGGGAGACACACGGCGGGUGCUAACGUCCGUCGUGAAGAGGGAAACAACCCAGACCGCCAGCUAAGGUCCCAAAGUCAUGGUUAAGUGGGAAACGAUGUGGGAAGGCACAGACAGCCAGGAUGUUGGCUUAGAAGCAGCCAUCAUUUAAAGAAAGCGUAAUAGCUCACUGGUCGAGUCGGCCUGCGCGGAAGAUGUAACGGGGCUAAACCAUGCACCGAAGCUGCGGCAGCGACACUAUGUGUUGUUGGGUAGGGGAGCGUUCUGUAAGCCUGCGAAGGUGUGCUGUGAGGCAUGCUGGAGGUAUCAGAAGUGCGAAUGCUGACAUAAGUAACGAUAAAGCGGGUGAAAAGCCCGCUCGCCGGAAGACCAAGGGUUCCUGUCCAACGUUAAUCGGGGCAGGGUGAGUCGACCCCUAAGGCGAGGCCGAAAGGCGUAGUCGAUGGGAAACAGGUUAAUAUUCCUGUACUUGGUGUUACUGCGAAGGGGGGACGGAGAAGGCUAUGUUAGCCGGGCGACGGUUGUCCCGGUUUAAGCAUGUAGGCUGGUURUCCAGGCAAAUCCGGAUAAYCAAGGCUGAGGUGUGAUGACGAGGCACUACGGUGCUGAAGUAACAAAUGCCCUGCUUCCAGGAAAAGCCUCUAAGCAUCAGGUAACAUCAAAUCGUACCCCAAACCGACACAGGUGGUCAGGUAGAGAAUACCAAGGCGCUUGAGAGAACUCGGGUGAAGGAACUAGGCAAAAUGGUGCCGUAACUUCGGGAGAAGGCACGCUGGUGUGUAGGUGAAGYCCCUGCGGRUGGAGCUGAGACCAGUCGAAGAUACCAGCUGGCUGCAACUGUUUAUUAAAAACACAGCACUGUGCAAACACGAAAGUGGACGUAUACGGUGUGACGCCUGCCCGGUGCCGGAAGGUUAAUUGAUGGGGUUAUCCGUAAGGAGAAGCUCUUGAUCGAAGCCCCGGUAAACGGCGGCCGUAACUAUAACGGUCCUAAGGUAGCGAAAUUCCUUGUCGGGUAAGUUCCGACCUGCACGAAUGGCGUAAUGAUGGCCAGGCUGUCUCCACCCGAGACUCAGUGAAAUUGAACUCGCUGUGAAGAUGCAGUGUACCCGCGGCAAGACGGAAAGACCCCGUGAACCUUUACUAUAGCUUGACACUGAACAUUGAGCCUUGAUGUGUAGGAUAGGUGGGAGGCUUUGAAGCGUGGACGCCAGUCUGCGUGGAGCCAACCUUGAAAUACCACCCUUUAAUGUUUGAUGUUCUAACGUUGGCCCCUUACCGGGGUUGCGGACAGUGUCUGGUGGGUAGUUUGACUGGGGCGGUCUCCUCCCAAAGCGUAACGGAGGAGCACGAAGGUUAGCUAAUCCUGGUCGGACAUCAGGAGGUUAGUGCAAUGGCAUAAGCUAGCUUGACUGCGAGCGUGACGGCGCGAGCAGGUGCGAAAGCAGGUCAUAGUUCACUGGUGUUCGGGUUGUCAUGCCAAUGGCACUGCCCGGUAGCUAAAUGCGGAAGAGAUAAGUGCUGAAAGCAUCUAAGCACGAAACUUGCCCCGAGAUGAGUUCUCCCUGAGACUUUAAGUCUCCUGAAGGAACGUUGAAGACGACGACGUUGAUAGGCCGGGUGUGUAAGCGCAGCGAUGCGUUGAGCUAACCGGUACUAAUGAACCGUGAGGCUUAACCUUACAACGCCGAAG
rnacentral:rRNA from 1 species